rnacentral:rRNA from 1 species
UGCAUAUCAAAAAGCGGAGGAAAAGAAACUAACAAGGAUUCCCCUAGUAACUGCGAGUGAAGCGGGAAAAGCUCAAAUUUAAAAUCUGGUGGUCUUUGGCCAUCCGAGUUGUAAUCUAGAGAAGUGUUAUCCGCGCUGGACCGUGUACAAGUCCCCUGGAAUGGGGCGUCAUAGAGGGUGAGAAUCCCGUCUUUGACACGGACUACCAGGGCUUUGUGAUGCACUCUCAAAGAGUCGAGUUGUUUGGGAAUGCAGCUCAAAAUGGGUGGUAAAUUCCAUCUAAAGCUAAAUAUUGGCGAGAGACCGAUAGCGAACAAGUACCGUGAGGGAAAGAUGAAAAGAACUUUGGAAAGAGAGUUAAACAGUACGUGAAAUUGUUGAAAGGGAAACGCUUGAAGUCAGUCGCGUCUGCCAGGGAUCAACCUUACUUUUGUGAGGCGUACUUCCUGGUUGAUGGGUCAGCAUCAGUUUUGGUCGCUGGAUAAAGGUCAGAGAAAUGUGGCACCUUCGGGUGUGUUAUAGUCUUUGAUCAGAUACAGUGGCUGGGACUGAGGAACUCAGCGCCGCAAGGCUGUCUUAGGAUGCUGGCAAAAUGGCUUUAAUCGACCCGUCUUGAAACACGGACAAAAAGGAGUCA